rnacentral:rRNA from 1 species
CCUACGGGAGGCAGCAGUGGGGAAUAUUGGGCAAUGGGCGCAAGCCUGACCCAGCAACGCCGCGUGAAGGAAGAAGGCUUUCGGGUUGUAAACUUCUUUUCUCAGGGACGAAGCAAGUGACGGUACCUGAUGAAUAAGCCACGGCUAACUACGUGCCAGCAGCCGCGGUAAUACGUAGGUGGCAAGCGUUAUCCGGAUUUAUUGGGGGUAAAGGGGGUGUAGGCGGGAGGGCAAGUCAUAUGUGAAAACUCAGGGCUCAACCCUUAGCCUGCAUUUGAAACUGUGUUUCUUGAGUGCUGGAGAGGCAAUCGGAAUUCCGUGUGUAGCGGUGAAAUGCGUAGAUAUACGGAGGAACACCAGUGGCGAAGGCGGAUUGCUGGACAGUAACUGACGCUGAGGCGCGAAAGCGUGGGGAGCAAACAGGAUUAGAUACCCGAGUAGUC